rnacentral:sRNA from 1 species
CAGGCAUUCAGAUACGUAUUAAUAUUGCAUUCUUGCAGCGUUUUAGAUGAGCGCCCUGUGGUCGAGGCAUUAACAUUGGAAUCUUUGAAAGAAGUCGAUAACUUCAGCCCAAACAUGUAUAUUCAAUUAAAAGUGGAAGCUGUAUGUUAUAACUGGAAGCGAAAUUUUAGCCGCCGAAUCUUCAUAUAGAGGAUAAUUCUGUGAAAAAAAAAAAAAAAAAAAAAAUCGUUUGCUUCCGACUUCAAAAUAAGUGAUUUUCUCUCGGGGAGGCGAUCAUUGUAUGUCAGCCCUAGCUAUUCUUAAUACUUCAUAUUUCAUCAUAUAGAUGUGGUAUAAAUUUGA